rnacentral:rRNA from 1 species
CGUUAAUGGCAUGGACGCAGUCUGAUGCAGCCCGCCGCGUGAGUGAUGAAGGCUUUCGGGUCGUAAAACUCUGUUGUUAGGGAAGAACAAGUGCUAGUUGAAUACGCUGGCACCUUGCCGGUCCCUAACCAGAAAGCCACGGUUAAUUCCGUGCCCCGGCCGCGGUAA